rfam:Sphingobacterium sp. Ag1 JX05_contig_11, whole genome shotgun sequence.
ACAGGGGUAGCCGAAAACCUGAACCAAGAGUAGGCA